UUUGUUGUCAUGAUAGAGUUCCUUGUGCAUAAUCAGAAGCAUCUUAUUAAACAAAGUUGGGUUUCAGUAUGUUACAAGUGAGGCCGAACUCUAUCUGGGGGUUGCUAAAGGGAUAACAUAGCUUGUUGAUUCCGCUAUGGAACAUUGUCGUGAUGCGUGUGUGAGGAUUUGAAUUGAGUGUUUUCUCCUUCUCUCAACCUCCCCAAGGACAUUUGCAUCUCGGAUUCCGAUGGAUAGUGGUGUUGCUCUAGAGAAUUUGCUCCAAGCUGUUUUUACCAGGGAUCAACAAUAGACUCGGCUCAUUUACGAAGACCUCUCACUUUUUCUAUAAAACUGUAAAGAACAAUAACUACAUAUGCUAAAUGCCACUUUUCUAGAUAAAUACAAUAAUAGUUGUUGAUGCGGAAAUUGACACCCCCAACAUACCGGUUUAAACUAAUAAUUAAACCGCUUAUCUAAACCAGAAAUUCAUUUCCAGUUAUGAAUUUGGUCUUUAAGCAAAGACCAAAUAAGACAGGAAGGCCCGGCCC